GGACACGUAGCUCAGCCUGGACAGAGCGUCGGACUUCUAAUCCGAUGGUCGCGGGUUCAACUCCCGUCGUGUUCG
rnacentral:tRNA from 1 species